GUGCACCAGGCGCGAAACCUCCGCAAUGCGGGAAACCGCGACGGGGGACCCCGAGUGCCGUGGCAACGCCACGGCUUUUCCGGAGUGUAAAAAGCUCCGGGAAUAAGGGCUGGGCAAGGCCGGUGGCAGCCGCCGCGGUAAUACCGGCGGCCCGAGUGGUGGCCGCUAUUAUUGGGCCUAAAGCGUCCGUAGCCGGGCCCGUAAGUCCCUGGCGAAAUCCCACGGCUCAACCGUGGGGCUUGCUGGGGAUACUGCGGGUCUUGGGACCGGGAGAGGCGGGGGGUACCCCUGGGGUAGGGGUGAAAAUCCUAUAAUCCCAGGGGGACCGCCAGUGGCGAAGGCGCCCCGCUGGAACGGGUCCGACGGUGAGGGACGAAGGCCAGGGGAGCAAAACCGGAUUAGAUACCCCUGUAGU
rnacentral:rRNA from 1 species